rnacentral:lncRNA from 1 species
CUCGUGCUUUUAAUUACCCCUCUUCGUGAUUACCGUUAUGACAACAGAAACCCGGGACUUGAUUUAUAUGUAAAAUUACUGAGGGGCGGAUCCAGCCACGAUAAAGGGGGUUCCAACUACAUGUCUCCAUUUAAUAAGGGGUGUCGUUAUCGCUGGGUUUCUUUUACCCCACCCUUUAAAAAAAAUUUAGAUUUCAAAAGUGUAUACCUUUUCAUAUAUUGCGUAGGUUAAAAUAUUGUCUUUUCCCAUAUUGUUUGCGUUUUGUUUGGUGUGUAUGGUAAUGUAACAGUGUCAAAAGAGAGUUUU